GACCGCCAGUGAAAAUCGAUUUUCACUGGCGGUCGACGUAAUAAAACCGCUAGUGAAAAUCGAUUUUCACUGGCGGUC
rnacentral:pre_miRNA from 7 species